GAAAAGAAAAAGUGUCGAAGUCGUUGCGCCGUUGAUGACGAAGAUGCAUCAUUGUUGACGACGAGGGUGCAUUGCGAGAGGUGUUACGAAGAUAACGAUUGUGCGUUGACGAUGAUGAGAUCGAUGAAGAUUAUCACAGAAGGUUGAAGCCGAAUUGAAGAUUUUCUGGAAUCUCUUUUGUAGGGAGUGAAUUCGAGAGAUAUUGAAGAUGAAGAUGAUGAAUUGAAUUCUGCAGAAUUGGUUCUGGUGAUUGACGAAAGAGAGGAUUGAAGAGUUUGCAGAUUCGAGAGUUUCAAGGUUGGAGAAGAUUAUGAGAUUGAAGAAGAUUGUUGAAGAUGAACGAAGCGUACAUGGGAAAGGCGAUGAAUCUGAAGUUUGUUACGUUUCUGUCCAAGUUUUGUUACCGAUUUCCCCUGAGUUUCCUUCUGUUAUUAAUUUGCUUUUUUUUGCAAUUCUGUUAUGUGAUUCUUGGUUUUUUCCUCUCAUCAAUUUCUCUGAUCCCUUUUCGGUCCUCUUGCAAAACCGGUUUUCUGAAUGGCCCUCUUUUGGUUUAAUUUUUCCCAUGAUAUGCUGCAGGUUCGGUUUGAAUUUAGAUGUAGGUAGAGUUUGCGAUAUGGAAUCGGUUUUGACGCCAGAGUUUGGUUUAUUUCCGAUGCAGAGUUAUGCAGGGUCUGAUUUGUAUUUGCAACAAGUUGAUAGCGUGAGGUGUUAUGCAGAAGUUUGUUGAUGAGGCAUGAAAGCCUAUCCCUUUUUUUUGUAAUUUUUGUAAUGGAUUUGUAAUAUGGAUUUGUAAUAUGGAUCUCCCUUUGGUAAUGAAUGGGCCUUGGUGUAUAUUUUUUUAA